CAAGACAUAAGGUAGGUAAAGUUUGAUAAAAUCUAAAACUCUUCUCUUUUAUAAAAUUAUUAACUCUCACUCUACAUACUUUCAAAUCUAAAUUCAAUAUUUGUGUUAUAAACAAACUAAGAGGGAAAACAAUAUGAGAGAGAGAGAGAGAGAGAGGUGAAACUGAGUGACACUGAGAGUAGGUUGUGCACAAUACCGCCAAAACCACACAAAAUCACUCCAAACCAUACAUUUUUCCAACUCUGUGGGCAAGUUGGAUGGGUGGGAGCCCCAACAGUGGCGGGUCAAUGCGGGUGGCAGUUGGAAAAUGCCAACCCGCUUAUGUAAUCGACCCAACCCACACUUACAUAAUUUGCACAAAUUCUGGUAUAUAUACAUGAUCCAGCAAGUUACAUCUCAACCAUUAGAUUAAAUCUAUCAUACCAAAUGUAGAUAUACUCACAUACACCUGUAAUAAUUUCUCAAUUAAACCUAAUUGGCACCCAAACAUCUCAUCUCAUUCAUCAUCGCCGCUGGUUUGAGGGCUCUAGUCUUGUUCCUCUUCCUUGCCUUGCGAUCGACACUGCCAUAGCCGUGCUGUCACCAUCGCUUCACUCGUCGUCGCUACUCUCCACGCAUUGCUGCUGCUCUCUGCUUGCCGCUGCUACUUUCUCCUCGCCGAUUGAUCGUGGAUGAGGGAAAUACAAAUGAUGGCUGCUUUGCGGUGGAAACCCUCCUACACCUACUGCAGAAUCAACUACUGUUGCUAGUUCUACCACUACCACAAUGCCUGCAAAAAUUCUGGCAUGUGACCAGGCCCUGAGUUGAAGGCCUAGAGUUGAGUUUUGUGAGCCAGCCUUUGUGCCUCCCGAGGAGGUUCUCGUUGGAAGAAGUCAAGUUUUGUGGCUUAUGUUAAAGAUGUUUUGGUUUUUAUUUAUUUUUGGAUAUAUGUACACAGGGCUAAGCCCAUUUUGUUAAUAUCUGUGUGAUAAUACUUGACUUAUGAAACCUUGACGUCAUAUAU